GAUGAACGCUGGCGGCGUGCUUAACACAUGCAAGUCGAACGGUGAACGAGGGAGCUUGCUCCCUCCGGAUCAGUGGCGAACGGGUGAGUAACACGUGAGCAAUCUGCCCUGGACUCUGGGAUAAGCGUUGGAAACGACGUCUAAUACCGGAUACGAGGCGUGGGGGCAUCCCCAACGCCUGGAAAGAACUUCGGUCCAGGAUGAGCUCGCGGCCUAUCAGCUAGUUGGUGAGGUAACGGCUCACCAAGGCGACGACGGGUAGCCGGCCUGAGAGGGUGACCGGCCACACGGGGAGUGAGGCACGGCCAAGACUCCUACGGGAGGCAGCAGUGGGGAAUAUUGCACAAGGGGCGCAAGCCUGAUGCAGCAACGCCGCGGGAGGGACGACGGCCUUCGGGUUGUAAACCUCUUUUAGCGGGGAAGAAGCGAAAGUGACGGUACCUGCAGAAAAAGCACCGGCUAACUACGUGCCAGCAGCCGCGGUAAUAC
rnacentral:rRNA from 1 species